rnacentral:rRNA from 1 species
UACGUAGGGGGCAAGCGUUGUCCGGAAUUAUUGGGCGUAAAGAGCGCGUAGGCGGUCCGAUAAGUCGGGUGUGAAAUCUCGGAGCUUAACUCCGAAACUGCAUUCGAUACUGCCGUGCUUGAGGACUGGAGAGGAGACUGGAAUUUACGGUGUAGCGGUGAAAUGCGUAGAUAUCGUAAGGAAGACCAGUGGCGAAGGCGGGUCUCUGGACAGUUCCUGACGCUGAGGCACGAAGGUCAGGGGAGCAAACGGG